rnacentral:rRNA from 1 species
AUUGAACGCUGGCGGCAGGCCUAACACAUGCAAGUCGAACGGAGUGGCGGACGGGUGAGGAAUACAUCGGAAUCUACUCUGUCGUGGGGGAUAACGUAGGGAAACUUACGCUAAUACCGCAUACUAUCAGAUGAGCCUAGGUCGGAUUUGCUAGUUGGUGGGGUAAAGGCCUACCAAGGCGACGAUCCGUAACUGGUCUGAGAGGAUGAUCAGCCACACUGGAACUGAGACACGGUCCAGCCCCCUUCGAGAGGAAGCAGUGGGGAAUAUUGGACAAUGGGCGAAAGCCUGAUCCAGCCAUGCCGCGUGUGUGAAGAAGGUCUUCGGAUUGUAAAGCACUUUAAGUUGGGAGGCGUUACCAACAGAAUAAGCACCGGCUAACUUCGUGCCAGCCGCCGCGGUAAUAC